rnacentral:rRNA from 1 species
AUAAUUAAGUGGAGGAAAAGAAACCAACUGGGAUUCCCUGAGUAAGGGCGACUGAAACGGGAUGUAGCUCAUAAUGAAAAUCGGUGUACUUGUGCACUGAGUUGUGAUGUGGAGAAGUUUGUGUCCAAAAGCCAGGGGAAAUUCAUUGGAAUAUGUUAGCAUGGAUGGUGAGACCCCAAUAUUCUUGGUGAGCGAACAAACCUUCAAAGAGUCGAGUUGUUUGGGAUUGCAGCUCUAAACGGUGGUAAAUUCCAUCGAAAGCUAAAUAUGGGUAGGAGACCGAUAGCGCACAAGUACCGUGAGGGAAAGAUGCAAAGAACUUUGAAAAGAGAGUUAAAGAGUACCUGAAAUUGCUGAAACUGAAGCAAAGGAAAUCAACAAAAGUUGUGCCAUAUUUCUCAUCUUGCUUGCAGGGUGGGCACUGUGUCGCAGCGUCGUUAGUGGUAGUGAUGUUUUGCACAAGCAGUUACAGGUUGUUUACCUGUGAUGUUCAUGCGAGAUGUUGCGACAGCUGACUAAUUGGUUUUCUUUCUCCCGU